GCCGGGAGGAGGGCGAGGGAAGGAGAGGAGGAAGGGUAGUAGUUCAGUCUUGGCUGGGCCGUGGAAGGGGUGGUUGUUGCUCCGUGUCGUCACAACUUUGGCUCCAUUUAUCCCGAACGGACUAGAAAAACAACAACAACAACAACAACAACAACAACAACAAUAGUAAUAAAUUAAAAAAACACCCAACAAAACGAACCUUGAGCGAAAUCAACCAAACGAACCGGAACGACAUGGCAACGGAACCGAACCAGUGAAGCGAACCAGUGAAGCGAACCAACGAACCAAC